rnacentral:rRNA from 1 species
GUGAGGAAUAUUGCGCAAUGGAGGCAACUCUGACGCAGCCAUGCCGCGUGCAGGAAGAAGGCGCUACGCGUUGUAAACUGCUUUUAACCGGGAAGAAACCCCAGGACGUGUCCUGGGUUGACGGUACCGGAGGAAUAAGCACCGGCUAACUUCGUGCCAGCAGCCGCGGUAAUACGAAGGGUGCAAGCGUUAUCCGGAUUCAUUGGGUUUAAAGGGUGCGUAGGCGGAGCGUUAAGUCAGUGGUGAAAUCCUGCAGGUUAACUGUAGACUUGCCAUUGAUACUGGCGCUCUUGAGUGCGCUUGAAGUGGGCGGAAUGUGCCGUGUAGCGGUGAAAUGCUUAGAUAUGGCACAGAACACCAAUUGCGAAGGCAGCUCACUAAGGCGAUACUGACGCUGAGGCACGAAAGCGUGGGGAUCGAACAGGAUUAGAAACCCGGGUAGUCC